rnacentral:lncRNA from 1 species
AUGCUCCUUAAGUUCCCCGUACUCCCUCGGAGACCCUAGCUACACGCCGAAUCCGUUACUCCGGGUUUUCGCAGUGGCUCGGUGGCCUACCCCGAUCGAAACCGUGAGGCUUUUGCUGAGGGAGGGCAAUGGGAGAGGGGAGGAUGGACGCAGAGUUUAGAAGUAGUUUGCCGAGGUGCAGUCGCACGAAUGGAUUUCAUCCUCACUGGUGUAUUUAAUAGUUUGUAAUCUACCAAACAGCAACUGCCAGAAGCCAGUCCCAGCUAACCUACUGGCGUGCACGAAAGAACCCAGCGAUGCUGAUCUCGUUUCGUUAUUUUUCUGACUUAAACGGUUAAAUCUAAACGCGAUUACUAAGAAAAAAAAUUUUAUACCUAUCAUUGUACACAGAAAAAAAAUAGAAAAAUGUUUAUAUAAGCGUAAAGCUGGUAGGACAGGAAAGGAAGCCGAAACAAAAA